CCGACCUUAGCUCAGUUGGUAGAGCGGAGGACUGUAGUUGCAAAUAACAGAUAUCCUUAGGUCGCUGGUUCGAAUCCGGCAGGUCGGA
rnacentral:tRNA from 2 species